ensembl:lncRNA
AGCAUGUAUAUAAAACUAAUAUUAUGUAUUUAUGUGACUAUUUGAGAGAGAUAAAUGAAAAAAUGAUCUCCAAAAGUUAGUAAUAGUUAUUUCAGAGUUGGUAGAUGAUCAGAUACUGUUGGGCUUUUCUGUGCUUUUCUUUGCAGUGUGCAUGUCAUAUUUAUGUAAAAAGGAAAAAUUUUUUCUUGUGAAGCUAAUUUAUUGAACACCUACUAUUUUCCAGGAUUGACUUUAGGUACCGGGUUUACAUUGAUCCAGAAAAGGUGUGCAUGGAUCUCAGAGCAAGAGAAUUGGUUUUGAUAUUGAAAAGAUUCCAAAAUAAUAACUCAGCGCCUCAUUCCUCCCAACCCACACUUCAUCUGCAGGAAGGUUCUGCUAAUUCCUUGUGACUUUAGUCAUAGGAGUCAUGGAAUAGCAGUUCCAACACCAACAGGAUGAAAAUAUGGAACAAAACAGGGCAUAUAUUUUUACCUAUAAACUGUGGACUGUCUUUUUCUCCUAACCAAAACUAAAAUGAACCAUUCCCCUCCAGUAUUAUAUGGCCAAUAAGAAAUCUGAUUGCACUGAAGUGAAAACAUCCAGAAUAGUUGAGUCAAACAGCAAAGAAGACAUGUUAAUAUAGGCAGAUAAGAACAACCAGCUUGGCUGCAGACAGGCAGGUCUGCCCAUGCCCUACCAAGGUCCCCAGUCGCACCGAACACACGCCGAAUCAUCCCGCUGCACACAGGAAGGUCUGUGCACGCCCUACCAAGGUCCUGAGUCACGCGGAAGACACCGAAGCCCCUGGCUGCAGACAGGCAGCCACCUGGUUCCACACUACAAAGACGCAGAGGACACCAGACCACCAGACCAAGAGAACAGAGCUCCCGGGAGCGCGGGCGUCCCCCAGUCCUGCUUCCCCGCGCGGAGCGGGCUGCGAAGUCUCAAGCCGCCUGGCCUCACCAGGAUAGCGGAUCCUCAACUCUGCGCCUGAUUUGCGGCCCUUGAGACACAUCCUGGACGCCUUUGAGACUGCGGAGGCCCUGCCCGUUCAGUCCCCUCGGCCUCGUGACCCUCCCUGAAGCAUGCUGUCAGAGCGGAGGCUGCAGCGCUAGAUCCCACGGGUUGGGGAGGGACCGGGCGUCCGGCUUCGCUCCGGGCGUCUCGAUGGUUCCGCACAAUAGAGCUCCACCCCGACCCUUCGCUCCCUUUCUGUUUCAUUUGAUACUUACGCCAAAAGCAGAGGAACUGCGCAAAACAGCAGCUAGGAGCUGAAGGAUGAAAGAAUCUUAAGGGAUCAAAAGUAGAUCAACUCCUGUGACCCCGUGGCGCAAGGGUAGCGCAUCUGACUCCAGAUCAGGUUGCGUGUUCAAAUCACGUAGGGGUCACGGUGUUGCAUGUAUUCACCCUACUCAUGAAAGUUUCAAAAACACACAAAAGGGAUAUCAUUUUCAAAUCCUAUACAUUUGACUACCCAUUUUGCAUAUCUUUUCCAAGUCAACAAAAGGGCAGACUGAGAACAUGACAAAAUCAUCAGCAAUGUCAAGAAACGGGUAAAAGGCAAAACCAGCUCAGGGAAAAUGAGAUAGAAAUUAUUUUUAAACACAUGAGACAAAUAGUUUCUUUCAUAAUAAGAGAAAUGCAAAUUAAAAUCAUAUUCUUGGCAGUGCUGGGGACCAAAACUAGGGCUUCACACAUGCUGGGCAAGCACUCUACCCCUGAGCCACAUUUCCAGCCCUUUGCAAGUUGUUUUUAGUCUAUGAGGUUGACAUGACUGACCAGAAAGUUUACACCAAAUUGUAUUGUGUAUACCUUUAAAUUUGUGAAAAAAAGAAGAGACCAUGAAACCCAGAAACAGAG